rnacentral:rRNA from 1 species
CCUACGGGAGGCAGCAGUGAGGAAUAUUGGUCAAUGGCCGGAAGGCUGAACCAGCCAUGCCGCGUGAAGGUCAGUGCCCUAUGGGCGUUAAACUUCUUUUGUGCGGGAGCAAUAAUGGUCACGUGUGGCCAGACGAGAGUACCGUACGAAUAAGCAUCGGCUAACUCCUUGCCAGCAGCCGCGGUAAUACGGGGGAUGCAAGCGUUAUCCGGAUUUAUUGGGUUUAAAGGGUGCGUAGGCUGUGAGGUAAGUCAGCGGUGAAAUGCCCCCGCUCAACGGGGUGAAGUGCCAUUGAUACUGCCUGGCUGGAAUGCGGAUGCCGUGGGAGGAAUGUGUGGUGUAGCGGUGAAAUGCAUAGAUAUCACACAGAACACCGAUUGCGAAGGCAUCUCACGAAUCCGCGAUUGACGCUGAUGCACGAAAGCGUGGGUAUCAAACAGGAUUAGAUACCCGAGUAGUC